rnacentral:rRNA from 1 species
AUUGAACGCUGGCGGUAUGCCUUACACAUGCAAGUCGAACGGUAACAGGUUAAGCUGACGAGUGGCGAACGGGUGAGUAAUGUAUCGGAACGUGCCCAGUCGUGGGGGAUAACUGCUCGAAAGAGCAGCUAAUACCGCAUACGACCUGAGGGUGAAAGCAGGGGAUCGCAAGACCUCGCGCGAUUGGAGCGGCCGAUAUCAGAUUAGGUAGUUGGUGAGGUAAAGGCUCACCAAGCCGACGAUCUGUAGCUGGUCUGAGAGGACGACCAGCCAAACUGGGACUGAGACACGGCCCAGACUCCUACGGGAGGCAGCAGUGGGGAAUUUUGGACAAUGGGCGCAAGCCUGAUCCAGCCAUGCCGCGUGCGGGAAGAAGGCCUUCGGGUUGUAAACCGCUUUUGUCAGGGAAGAAAAGGUUCUGGCUAAUACCUGGGACUCAUGACGGUACCUGAAGAAUAAGCACCGGCUAACUACGUGCCAGCCGCCGCAGUAACAC